GAUUCCGGUGAUUGGAUGAUUGGAGUGAGAUGGUUCUUGAAGAGGAGCUUACUUGGGUCAAGUUCAGUGAUCAUUGCAGCACCUUUGAAUGUUGGGCAGGAAACAAGGCUGGUUUUGUUGGAUCUUGCUGCAGUCUACUCCUCCUUUCAAGCACGCCCAAUCUAACGCUGCCUGCAACUCAUCAUCUGGUGUCUGCUCAUCAGCUACACACCAUUGUUCCAACUCUGCCUCUGCUUAUACACACACAUAUAUGCACAUGUGAGCGUAUGUAUAUGCGUGCGUAUACGUGUAAGUGCAGUCAUCUUUACCUGAUUCUUGAGGAGUUGCUACUGAUAUGAUGAGCAGGGCAAGCAUUAUCCUUAUCAAGAGAGUUGGCAUCUUGAAAGAGAGCAAGAAUGAGUUUCAGAUUAUGCAAAAAUAUCUGUAUAUAUGAGAAGUGUGAUUGCAAACAAACUCCAACUUGACUCUUUUAUAGUGACAUGAAAGAGAGAGAGAGAGAUGAGUAAUCCAAAAGUUUUAAACUUUAAUGGAUUCUCUCACAGUUAAGAACCUUCAUAGUAUUUUUUUUUUACUUUUUUACUGUACUUGAAACUGUGGAGUGUGGAUGACUUUGGAAUCUAGUUAUGCUUCAGAUGCAA